CUGCUUCAUUUCCACACACCCCCCACCCUGCCACCCUUUCUGGCUGCCAUAAGGUCCUGUCUAGAUCUGACAUCCUGUGAUUCUGAGAUGCUCCCCGAUGAAAGCAAUGUUUUAAACUCUGGGUUUGUCAAGCUCAAGAAGAAUAUAAGGUUGAAAAGGUCAUCCGAUUGCUGCUUUGUCCUCAGGACUCCUGGUGAUUCCACACAUGCUUUUACUUCUGAGCACAUACUUCUUCCUGAACCAUUCUAUGACCCCUGGUCCCAGUCCUUCCUGGUCAAAAUCCCUCUAAGUCCAGAGUCUCCUUGAUGUUAAAAGGAUGUUUCCUGUUCAUAAUUUAACUAAUAUAUCCUGGGCUAAAUUCUGCUGCUGUCCAUGCUUCUCCCUUUGCCAAACACCAGGACAUCACUGGAUCUCCAUGACAGAUGAGAAGUACAUUUCAGAAGGACUGCCAUGAGUUGAGCAGCUUUGCUCCAGCACAACCUCCUAGCCAUGAUGUUCUAUACACCACAGGCCCAGAAACUGUGGAGCCCAGUGACCAUGGAAUAAAAUCUUUGAA